rnacentral:rRNA from 1 species
GCAUAAUCAUUUGCCCCUUAAUUAGGGGCUAGCAUGAAUGGACAAACGAGAUUAUACCUGUCUCCUCUAUACCUAUAAAAAUUAAUCUACAGGUGAAGAAGCCUGUAUUCUUAUAAAAGACAAGAAGACCCUGUCGAGCUUUAAUUAUUUAUAAUAUAACGCAAUAUCUAUGCCCCCUCUUAUAAAUAAUCUUUGUUGGGGCGACAAUGGAGCAUAAAAACCCUCCACUACAAUCUAGACAACAAGUCACCCAAAAAAUCCCCAAAAGGAACCUGGAACUAGCUACCGCAGGGAUAACAGACUAAUCUUCCUCAAGAGCCCAAAUCUACAGGAAGGCUUGG